UCGUUUUUCCUUCCGGAUUCAUUGAUUCCGCCAAUAUGGCUUAAGGAACUGCUGUGUAACGAUUUGUUAACUUAAUAAAAUAAGUUCUUGACGAAAAUAUAUAUUUUUUAUUUUAUAUAUUGGCUUUCUCUUUAGGAAUUUAUCUUUCUGAGACUAAUUUUGUCACUCAGUUCCGAUAUUUUCAUAUUCUAUUAUUUUAAUUUUAAUUUUUUGUUUGUAUCUUAUUAAAUCCAAUGUUGCAAUUGUGUUAUUUCUACUUAUUUUCGAUAUUUUAAAAAUAAUCUUUUUAUAUUUUUAAUAAGUGCAUAAUGUUUGUACUACAAUCAAAUGCAUUUAUACAUUUACUUAUAUAAAAUUUUAUAUUAUAUUUAUGAUAAGCUAAAAAUUAAUAGUAUAUAUAAUUAUAUUUUAGUUUUGUUUUCAAUUAUUAUACACGAUACUAUUUAGCUAUAUUUUAACAUUUUGUUUACUGUCAUUUAUAAACUAAUCAACUAUUAUUUUAAUUAGUAAAUUGUCAUAAGAUUCAUCACUAAUUCACUAUAUAUUUUUUGAAAGCUAAAAACUGUAUGUCUUUCCAACUUUUAUACAAUUUUUAGAAAUACCCAACAUAUUGAUUUUUAAAUAUGUCAUGAUUCAUUACUAUAUUUUUUUUUGAAAGCUAAUAAAUGUAUGAUCUUUCAACUUUCAUACAAUUUCAAAAAUAUCCAUCAUAUUAAUUUUUAAUAUAUCAAUUAUAAAACUGAAAUGUUUAUAAAAUUUUUAAUAUGAUUAAUCUUAAACAUUUUCUCGCUAAAAUUCAAAUUAUAUUUUUAGGUAUAAAUUUAUAUUUCUUUGCUUUUUACAUAUAAUAUUAAUUCAUUUGUAUUUAACUUAAAUAUUUUAUAAUUAUAAGUAACAAUAAAUAAAAAUAAGUAUGUAUUGAAUGAACAUUUUAAAUAAAUUAUAUUUUUUAAUUUUUAAUUAGAUGCAUGCUUAGGUGGAUGAUGAUGUGGAUAGCCUAGAUGGAGAGAGGACUCUCCCAUUAUAUAUAUAGAUUUAAGUACUCGGACCGGGUUCAAAGUCAGGCCCAUCGGAUUUAGGUGUUAUGAUUCUAAACAUUUAAAUCUCAUUCGGAUAUUUUAAAUUUUUGUUUUAAAAGAUGAAAAUAUGAAGCAUUUUGCAACGUUUCAUUAUUCCUCAUAGACCUGGACAUUUGACUAUUUGAGUACUCGGGUCGGAUUCAGGUUGGGCCAAUCCGGAUUCAGAUUUUUAUUUUGAGUCUUGACAUUUAAGCCCCAUUUUAGUAAUUAAAUUUUUGGUUCGAUUAUGAUUUGGAUUCGGGUAUAUUCUCGUCUUUAUAUUGAGCAGUGUUCUAAAAAGCGGUCUAGGCAGUCGCCUAGACCCCGACUAGGCGCUAGGCUCUCAUGGGACGCCUAGAUAACUGCUUUGACCGCCUAAAAUAUCAUAGAUCUUGUUUAAUGUUUUUUUUUAAUCUCAAUUAGAGUUUUAUUUAUAUAUAUAUAUAUAUAUAUAUAUAUAUAUAUAUAUAGUUAUAAAUAUUUAUAUAUUGUUAAUAUAAAUAUAAAUAAAUGUUUUAUCUAGUUUUUGUUUAUAAUUUCAUAAUUUUUAGUUUUAUAUAGAUAUUUUAUAUAACUUUUAUAUAUAAUAUCAUAUUUAUAAUAUUUUAUGUUAUAAACGUCUAAACCGCCUAAAAAAUCGCCUAGACCCCGAUUAGACGUUCUAGGAGCUAGACACUGGAUCACCGCCCGCUUAGCGCCUAGCGCUUUCUUGAACACUGAUAUUGAGAAGCGGUGGGAAUCAGAAAUAUUUACGAGUGUGGUUUGGAUGGAUACUUUGUAUCCUGAUCUAUCCAAAAAGUAUUUGAAUAGACCGAAAGUAUCCAAAAUACCCAAAAAAAUGGUAGUUUAUAUCACCGAAAUAUAUCCACAUCUAUCCAAACUACCUGAAGAUAUCCAAAAUACCUAAAAAAAUAGUAUUUGUAUCACUCAAAUUCUCCGAGAGUAUUUGCAAUAUCCGAAAGUUGUAGUAAUUUUGGGUAUUUGGGUUAAUUAUUAUAAGUAUAAAUAUGACUGAUAUAUUCUUAUAUUUUAUGGCAUGUUCAGAUAUCCAUUCGGUUAUCGAUUUGGUUUGGAUCCAGUACUAGUUCGUCGAGUCUAGAGGUUUAGGUCAUAUUCUGGUAUUUUGUCUCUUCCGGUUCCGGUUCCGGUUUUCUUUUUUGGAUCAUCAGUUCCAGUUACUUUUCUACAAGUGAAGAUUAAUAUAAUUUUACCCAUAUGUGAGGCUUUUUCAGAAGCUAAUAGAAUGGCCAAUGUGAGGCUGAGAGUUAGCCUUCAAUUUUAACAUUGGACGUCAUACAUGAGACUUGAGAGUUAGCCAUCAACUUUAAUUUUGGAAAUCAUACAUAAAAGUGCGAUAGGUGAUUUCACUCUUAGGUAUUUCGAUACAUAUGUUUUGAAAGUUUGAGAACCUUGAUAAAGUGGAAAAAAACUGAAAUAAGCUUAGUGUACAUAAGGGUGAAAGGGUGAAACUCCCAACCCUGAGUUCGAUCCUUUCUGGAAACAAAAACACAUUUGUUUGGGAAGUCUGUCAGUUGGGCCUUGGCCCAAUUGGUUUACCUAGUAGUCAGAAAUGCAGGCAGCCUGACUACCUCCUGUCAUUAGUCGGAAGGCACUCUAAACUCGGAUCAGGCAGUGUCGUAGCCCAAUUCUGGAUCUCAUGGAUCUCAUAAAUCUCAUGGCCCGUUCGACCCGAGUCCGCUCGAAGAUCAUGGUGUCCGUUGAAUCGUUGAACCGUUGAACCGUUGAACCGCGGGAAUAGUCCACUCUGUAGCACUUCGAUACGUUCCUACCGGAUCUGCCGAUAGGGUUUAUAAAAAAAAAAAAAAAGGGACAAUUCAUAAAGAAAUAAGCUUAAAAGCAAUACAAUAUCAGUGGAGCGCAUGCAUAAAAAUCACAAUUUUUCUUCACCUACUAAUUUGUCUUAAGUUGACAAAAGUUGCUUUUGUCAAAAUAAAAUAAAAAGCUUAGCGAAAGUUAAUUGCCAAAACAACCAUGUCCGUUACUUCGUGUGUAAAGAUUUGAUUCAAUCAAUAAAAGGUUAAUGGACUUUUUAAACCUAACUUCAUCGACGUCAUAAUUGUAAAAAUUUACAAACGUUGUUAUAUCCUAUAUAGUUCUUCAAAGACGAAUCAAACCACAUUAGUUUAAAUUGUGUGAAACCUUUUGAAAUCUUAAAUAUAUUAUUUAUAUGUAAAAGGUUUGAACAAUAGUUAAACUAUAUAAAGACUCAUAUAUAAUUCCAGACAUCAAUAAUUAAUCAAUGGUUAAAAUAUUUUCAAGAUUUUGUACUAGUUGAAGACUAAUUAGUUUUCAAAAUUCUAAUUUAGAAUUGUGUAAUUAUUCUAAAUUUUAGUGAUAUGUUUUUACAAGAAAAAUAUUACAAAACAUUAUUUUAUGAUAAAAACAAUUUAAUUUAACCAAGAACGAUAUGAAAUAUAUUGAUUAAGAAGGUGAAGUUGGUAAAUUACAAAAAUGUUUUUGCAUACAAAACCGGUUGUAAAAUAGUAAAUAAGUGGAGAUUUUUUUGCUAGUAAUUUUAAACUAAGAGCUUGAUAUCAUGUAAAAUAGCAGAAUGUCAUCGGUUAACGUACGAUCUUAUUUGAUUUAAAGAGCACAUACUUUAUGUUAUUUGUUUAAAGCACUUGCUGUAAAUGACUUAAAUUGUUUAUAAUUUUUUCUAUCCAUCAUCUUUUGCAAAUUAAUGUCAACAUCUAGUGUAUAUAUUCUAACGAUAGGUAAAAAGAUGAAGAGUAGAAACCUGAACGAUAGGUAAAAUCUUCUAUUCUUUUUUUCUUUUUUUUCUGUCAACUGGUCAGCCAAUUAAAAUCUAUUGAAACACAAUCUCAUAUUCAGGCCUUUAAAUUAGCAACUAUUAAUUGAAUUACGACUAUUAAGUAUGAUGGGUAAUACAUUUUCCCCACUGUUUCUAGUGAACUAGAAUUUUUUUUUUGAAACUAUAAACAUAUGCAAAAAAUUGGUAUUUUAGGUUGAUAUAUAUAAUAUUUUUGGACCAAUAUAUAUUGAGUUGGAAUUUUUUUUUGCGUUGAAAUAUAUAUAUUGUUUUAAUUGGUAUUUUAGCUUUGAAAUAUAUUAUGAAUGAGAAUAAAUAGUUUUCUCACAUAUUCAAAGUUAGUAUCACCUUUGAGUUGGAAUCAUGCGCUUAUACAAAAGUGAUUCAUGGUGACUUCAACGUAAAAUACCAAUUUUGCAUAGAUUGGGUAAUGCCUAUAUAUCCACCAUAUGAAUAUUUAAUAUUGUAGAUGUUGCUCGAAUGCUAUUAUGGACGAGCGCGGUUCCCUCAUUUAUUAUUUGAAAUAUAGAUAUUGCUCCAUUGAAGAAUAUUGGGUAUUGACAAAAUAUAUACAUUGGAUAAUGUAUUAAUUUUUAACGGAAACGAAGGUGACACGUACAUGUACUCAAUCAACAAGAUGAGUUAUUCAUAAUGUAAUGAAAUGGGACAUAUCAAAACUUGAGUGGUAGAGUUGCAAACAGUUUGAAAGCAACCCUCCUUCUAACUAAAUCUGAUAUAGCUCCACUUUAUCGGUCGUCCUUAUAGAACAUGUGGUUGCAAACUUAGUACAUAUAGAGUUUUCGAUAAUUUUAUUCAUUCACCACAAAUAUAAUUAUACAAGUUUCAUAUGUCAUAGUGAUAAUCUUCUAAACUUUACCUUAAAGUAUAAUUGUUCACAUAUUAGCUUCCCGCAUAACCAACAUGAAGAAUAGGUUAGACAGUACUAAAUUUCCGUAUAUAUGCGUCAGUAGAUUGGUGUAAUGAUACUUCUCGUACUCUCUUCUUUGGAGAUAUGCUUGUUUCAUUUUCUCAUCAUUUAUUUAUGCGCAAAAUACCCUGAACUACCAUUAGCUUAUACUUGAUUUUAUUUUUGUUAUAAUUGAUUGUUGCCGGAGAUCACCUCUUAAAUAGUGAGGUAAGAAACUACCUAGUAGCCGAAGUUUAUCCUCAAUAGUAACUAACUAUUAACUCCUAAAUAAUAUAUAAUCCCGAUAGUAUAAUCAUCGGCUAAUAUUUUAGUGUUAUAUAGUCUCAAUGAUUUUAUAUAGUAACAGGUGGUGCUUUUAAAUUUGUAUUUUAAAACUAAAACUCCCCAUCGCAUCAACAAUUCCACUUCAACUUUGUGCCAGAUGUCUCGGCAACAAAUAGGAAUUUACAUGAAUGUCAUUUUCAUUGUAUUUUUGUAUGGGUUUAAUUUCUUUACAUAUUAUUGUCAAUUCAUUUAAUUUCUAAAUGCCGCUGACCCCAAUCACAAACUUGAAUCAAUGUCUGCUGUUGAGACAUGACAAUACUGAACUGCCAUGUGUCCUCCAAAUUUGAUAAAUCCCUCCUCAAUUAUUGACACAUUACUUAAUAUUUACUUAUUUAGUGAAAAAUGAAAAUGUAUGGUUUGCAUUUAAUGAUUUGUUAAACAUUUUUUUUACUGUUCCUUUUACUCUGUUCGGAAAGAAAUUUUUUAGUUUUCUUUACACGUCAAGCUUCACAAAUUCCUCCGCACCACACAUGAAAACCUGGGGUUACGGAUGUGGAAAAUGUUAAAAGUAACCUAAUAUAAAACAUGUGAUAUAUUACGGAUUUUACCAAUUUUAGCCGUGAUAUAUGUGUCAGUUUUAGAGUCUUUUUGUUGUAUGGUUUGCAUUUAAUGAUUUGUUAAACAUUUUUUUUACUGUUCCUUUUACUCUGUUCGGAAAGAAAUUUUUUAGUUUUCUUUACACGUCAAGCUUCACAAAUUCCUCCGCGCCACACAUGAAAACCUGGGGUUACGGAUGUGGAAAAUGUUAAAAGUAACCUAAUAUAAAACAUGUGAUAUAUUACGGAUUUUACCAAUUUUAGCCGUGAUAUAUGUGUCAGUUUUAGAGUCUUUUUGUUGUUUCUAGAGUUUUUUGAGUAUUUUCAGGUUUUUACACGUUCGGAACAAAUCUGGAGAUAAGGAACCAUUCUGGAGCUAAACCGGAGAUUUAGAGCUGAAAAAAAGAUUUCGGUGUCAGACCAAGGCAUGAGUGUCGACCGACGCCCUUUGGUGUCGCUCGACACCACACGAGACCCAACAAAAAGUCUCGACGGUUUGGAGUUUUUAAAGCCCGAAGAAUCAACCCAGACAACUUCCCUAUUUGCAACUUUAGUCCCUGCACAUUUUUGGAGACUUUAUAAAUAGUUUUUAGGGUUUUUCUAUUUCAUUAUCUUAGAUCUUGCUUUUUGCUUUUGGCUUUGUAAUUCUCUGAGCUUGAACCCUUUGGAAGAAAAUUGGAAAGAGCAACUUUUCAGAUAUUUCAAAACCCUGUAGAGAGAAUAUUUAUUCUAAACUCUUUUCUUCUUUUGAUUUCUUAUUUUACAAUUUAUUUAAACAUAUUUUCUGUUUCAUUAAUCAUGUCUGAGUAAUCACCCUGUUAGGUUUAGAGAUUCUCAUUAGGGAUUUAGAUGAAUUAGUAAAUCGAUUUUCUGUUAGGAUUAAUCUAUAGAGUUCUUCACCUUAGGUUGUUCUUAAUGCUAGUUCAAGAGUAGCUAACUAGAACUUGAUCAUAGGAUAAUAGGUUUUGAUCCGAGAGAGCGCCUGUUACUGGAACUAUCUUAGGUGGGUAAAGAUUUCUAGAUACAUUCGAGAGGAGGUCUAGGAAUAUUUGUGAACAUAUAUCAAACCUGUUUUUAAUGCUAGUUUAGAUCUAGGAGUUCGCAUUCGAGAGGGUGGAAUUACCUGAUAUUAGACUAGUUAGUCAAUGUAUCUGAGAGGAGGUUGGCUAUACAUUUGUGUUUUGAGUUCUAGAACGGUUCGAUAAUAAUCCUAAUUAAUUUGCUAGAUUUACUAUUAGUUUAUUUUCUGAGAAUAUCCCUAAAUCUGACGCUUUAAUCCAUUUGAAUUUUCACCUGAUUUAAUUGCUUGUUUUUAUUUGAAUUUGCUUAAUAUUCUAUUUAGCCUAAUUUCGAAAUUGUUAGCUUACUGUGUGAACAAAAGAACUUUGUGGAAUUCGACCCUAAAGUGCUGCAAUUGUUCUCUUAUUUGAGAGAGUAGUCUAUAGGUCUAAUUUAACUCAUAUAUAUCAAAUUUGGCGCCGCUGCCGAAGUUCUUGGGAAUCACCAUUAAGUUUAGUUUAAAAAUUUUGUCUAAAUUUUACUUUUCUUUUGAUAGUUUCGCGUUUCUUUCUUUCCUUUUUUCUUGUGUUUCAGGUGCAUGCCUAACCGCAUAACUUGGAGCAGCAAAGAAAAAGACCUCGUCAAUUUGACUACACUUGAAUUGGCAUAGUUAGAACGCACCAACCGCAAAGCUCAAAAAUCAUCAACAAUGGUUCGUGGAGAAAUCAGAGCUAAUGAACUAGGGGUUUUGAGAGAUGACGAUGGACAAGCCUACAAUGAGGCUGGACAACGAUUGGACGAUCAUGGGAUUGUCAUGCCCGAGGAUCUGAUUGUGGAUGAUCCAAACAUCCGGAAUCCUGAUCCACCAAACGCUGUGGCUGAUCACGUCCUCGGUGUGGAACGACACCACCAGGGUGUAGCUCGACACCCCCUCCCAGCAGACGUGCAGAUCAAAGCUGGCCAGCAGGGCCGCCAACAGCCGCCUGUCACGGCAGAACAUCAGUUAACUCUUAGAGACUACAACAUGCCAGACCUGUUCUAUGCUAUUCGAUCAGCGAUCGUACCCCCCGCUUUUCAGAGAAACGACUUCGAGCUAAAACCCGCAUACUUUACUCUUGUAGGACAACAUCCUUUCCACAGCUUCUCUAAUGAACAGCCAAUGGACCACAUCGAGCGCUUUGAGGAUUUGGUAUCUAGCAUUAAGGCUAAUGGAGUUUCAGAUGACUAUCUUCUCUGCAAGCUCUUCCGAUACUCACUUGCUGGGGAAGCAGCUUCUUGGUUAAAGCAGUUGAAACCAGAAUCUUUGACUAGCUGGAGGAAGAUCAAGGUAGCCAUUUUGAACAACUUCUAUGAUGAUGGUAAGUCUGAGGAGCUGCGCAACAAGUUGUCUACAUUCACUUAAAGACCAGCAGAAGCAUUUAAAGUUGCUUGGGUCAGAUUCAAGAAGUACCAACAAGAUUGCCUGCAUCACGGUUUCAGUGAAGUUCAGCUCAUAGGUACAUUCUUCAAGGGAGUUGAUUAGAGAUAUCAGAUUGCUUUGGAUGCUGCAAGAAAUGGCAACUUGAACACCAGGUACCCCGACGAUGUUGUAGCUUUAAUUGAGAAUCUCGCAUGUAGCAAUAGCACGAAGAAUGCAGACUUCGAGAGGAAGAAGAUUGCAGGCGCGAUUAUAGGUACUCAGUAUGCAGAGGUUAAUGCCAAGUUGGAUUAAGGCCAUAGCCACCUCACGGGAAAGAAAGCUGUCUACUUUGGUGCCAAAGUUGAAACUACUGAGCCAGAAGAAGAGUAUGAAGAAGGAGUAUUCUACAUUGAUGGCCAAGGAUACAGGAAAUUCGGGCCUCCAUAGGGUAACUUCAGUGGUCAGAGAUUCACAGCGAAUCAGAACAACUCCGGUUUCAACAACAGGCCAGCGUUUCAGAAGACAUAUCCGCAAACUAGUAGCUUCCAAAGAACAUACGGGAAUACGACCUACCAGAACCCACCUGCACCCACUCCCGAGACUAAGAUGGAGACGAUGCUUGAGCAGAUUCUAGAGGGGUAGACAAAGCUUACGGUUGAGUUCAACGGGAAGUUUGAUGCCAUAUACUUUUAUUUGAAUGGCAAGAUUGACACUUUGAACACUCACAUGAAGAAGCUCGAUGUUCAAGUUGCUCAAACUACCGCCGAUGUUAAGAGACAAGAUGGUGUUCUUUCUGGUAUGCCUGAUGCUAACCCCAAAAGAGCCUGCAAUGCGAUACUGGUCCGAGAUGGAGAUGAUGUUUGGGACGAAUUGGACACUGACGAUGAGCAUGAGCUCGCUGCUGUAGAGACAGUGUCGACCGACACCCCCUGGUGUCGAUCGACACCCACUCGAUACCCAUGGAGAACAAUGUUCGACGAAUCGUUGUCGACCGAUACAGCUUUGCGAAGCUCGAUAGCAACCCUCAUUGUCGACCGACGCCACCAUGGUGUCGAUAGACACUAUCUCGACAACGAAGCAGUUUCGAUGUGUGACGGACAGAGAUCGACCAGGCACGACACAGAGGAGUCGCACCAUAUCAGAGUGUCGACCGACACUCACCUAGUGUUGAUCGACACUGGGUUCGCACAGCUCCUUAUGCCAUCAUCUUUCCACCUGCAAAGCCUGUCUACACGCCUCCAGUCCCUUUUCCUAAGAAGCUUCGCUCUAAGCAAGAGAUUCAGGAUGCACGCUGCAAGGCUAUCAUGGAGAAGAUCUUGACUACUAUUCCUAAAGUCAAUCCCGAGAGAUCUUCGCCUCCACUUGAGAGGUAUGUCAAGAGAUUGGUCAACAAUGGAAUCUGUGCUGAAGAGGCUGCGUUGCUCACAAAAGAUAUCAACUUGAUUGUGCUGCAAGAAGCCAAGAAAGAGAGGAAGAAGAAAGUGGUUGUGUCUGAACACAUUAGCUCGAUCAUUUAGAGUAGGAUGCCUGAAAAGCUACCUGAUCCAGGAAGCUUUUUUCUUGAUUGCUCCAUCUCUACAGGCCGGUUCAGUAAAUCUUUGUGUGAUCUUGGAUCCAUCAUCAAUCUGAUGCCACAUUGAGUUGUUGUGCGCCUUGGUAUGACUGCUUACAGGCCAACAUGGAUUACUUUGCUUCUCACGGAUUGUUCUAAGCGAAUUCUCGAAGGAAUCUUGGAAGAUGUUCCUGUACAGAUUGGUGAAUGUCUCAUACCUGCUGAUUUCGUAGUACUGGACUACGAUGAGGAACCCAAGGAUCCUCUUAUCUUGGGUAGAGCAUUCUUAGCCAUAGCUGGUGCAAAGAUUGAUGUGAAGAAGGGAGAGAUUUCGUUGAAUGUAUGUGAUGUGAAGAUGAAUUUCGACAUGAAAGGCUCAAGUACACCUCCAAUACUUAGUGGUAAGUCAUUCUCUAUUGAAUCUACACGGGAAUCUGCGGAGGAAUUGGAUUCUACUGCACCUACAGAAGCCGCUACUGCAACUCAGUAUCGUUCAGACGGACUAGUGUCGACCGACACCAACGACGAGCAGAGAAGCGGAUUUUGGCGAAAACUGUUGUUGGGACUGCAGACAAUGCCAAUUGUUCAGGAGCUGUUCCCGAUACAUACACGCCUUGAUCAGCAAAGGUAUUGCACAUCUCCUCCUCAUCCUUACCUUCUUCACUUAAUACUUCCAUAUCUUCGAAGAAGGCUUCACAGGUAAACGAGCCACGAGAUUCUCGAGUGAUUGUUUCUUCUGUUGUUGAUGCAGGAAACGGAACAACGGACGCUGCAGCUUCUACCAGUUUCCUUGGACAUGAGCACGCCUCCAACGCUUAUGCUCCACCAUGGAUGGCUAGGCGUCGGUCUUCUGAGAAGUCUUCAAACACUUUUUCCGCUCCACCUUGCUCCUGAAACCCGACAUAGUCAAGCUAAUGACUGAAAAUAAGCGCUUAGUGGGAGGCAAUCCACUGGUAUGUUUUUUUGUUUUUCUUUUAUUUUAUUGAUGUUUUUCUUUUUAUUUUAUUUUCGCUAACUCCGGAUUUGAAUGCCACUGGAACAGUGUCGUUUAAGUCUGGGAGCGGCAGUUACUAAUUAUGUUUUUUUUUUUGAGUCUUAUUUUUAUUUUUCUUUUUCUUUUGAGUCGUUUUAUUGAGUCAAAAUUUUGUUGGAAAUUUUGAUCUUUUUCUCUAGAUUAUUGCCUGGUUAGUUUAAUGCUGUAGAUUAAAAUCAAUCCGACUAAUGGAAAAUCCAAAGAGUUAAUCAAUAGACCAGAGGACAUCCACGUUUUCAACACAAUCCGCUAAAGCCUGAGCAAAGUUCAUGCUCUUCACCUCGUCAAUACGGUUAGUAUUUUCAGAACUUGACUCCUCGUUCAUACCUGAUAAAUGAGACCAAUGUGGAAAAAGAAUGGUAUUUCUCUCCAUUAUAUUAAAAAAAAAAACGAAAAAAAAAGAUUGAGAUGAUUUUCUUUUGGAGUAAAGAGAUAAGAAAAUUUCCCGUUAUCUCAUUAUUUUACUUCCAAAGGAAUGAUCACACAAAAGUUGGAUGCGAGGUUAGGAACAUUUCCGAUGAUACCAUUAUUCGUCUACACCUUUGUCAAAAAAAAAGAGAAUUAGUUUGGGGGAGGGAAAGAAUACCAAGGAAAUAUUGAAAUGGUUGAUUUAUCAUAGUAUAGUACGGGAAUGAGUCCAGAAGGUUCUUGAGUACUGAUUUUAUUGAUGAGAUUUAUGCGAUGAGGGCUAUAGGAUAUAGUUGUGGAAUUUGGUUUGGAAUUUGGAAUGUUGAGAAUGCUUGCAGAGAAUUACAUGGUGGUUAGGAUUUGAUGCGAUCUGCUAGGCAUUUGGAUUUGGUUUGAAUAAUAACGGUAAUAGGCUAGAGAAAUUGGGAGUUUCUGUGUUUUCAAACUUCUUACACAGGUUCGGUUUUUGUGUUUUGCUUGAGGGCAAGCAAGAGCUAAUUCUGGAGGAGUUGAUAUAUCACGGAUUUUACCGAUUUUAGCCGUGAUGUAUGUGUCAGUUGUUGAGUCUUUUUGUUGUUUCUAGAGUCUUUUUGAGUAUUUUCAGGUUUUUACAAGUUCGGGACAAAUCUGGAGAUAAGGAACUAUUCUGGAACUAAACCAGAGAUUUAGAGCUGAAGAAACGAUUUCGGUGUCAGACCAAGGCAUGAGUGUCGACCGACACCUUUUGGUGUCGCUCGACACCACACGAGGCCCAGCAAAAAGUCUCGACGGUUUGGAGUUUUUAAAGCCCGAAGAAUCAACCUAGAAGACUUCCCUAUUUGCAACUUUAGUCCCUGCACGUUUUUGGAGACUUUAUAAAUAGUUUUUAGGGUUUUUCUAAUUCAUUAUCUUAAAUCUUGCUUUUUGCUUUUGGCUUUGUAAUUCUCUGAGCUUAAACCCUUUGGAAGAGAAUUGAAGAGAGCAACUUUUCAGAUAUUUCAAAACCCUGUAGAGAGAAGAUUUAUUCUAAACUCUUUUCUUCUUUUGAUAUCUUAUUUUGCAAUUUAUUUAAACAUGUUUUCUGUUUCAUUAAUCAUGUCUGAGUAAUCACCCUGUUAGGUUUAGGGAUUGUCAUUAGGGAUUUAGAUGAAUCAGUAAAUCGAUUUUCUGUUAGGAUUAAUCUAUAGAGUUUUUCACCUUAGGUUGUUCUUAAUGCUAGUUCAAGAGUAGCUAACUAGAACUUGAUCAUACGAUAAUUGGUUUUGAUCCGAGAGGGUGCCUGUUACUGGAACUAUCUUAGGUGGGCAAAGAUUUCUAGAUACAUUCGAGAGGAGGUCUAGGAAUAUUUGUGAACAUAUCAAACCUGUUUUUAAUGCUAGUCUAGAUCUAGGAGUUCGCAUUCGAAAGGGUGGAAUUACCUGAUAUUAGACUAGUUAGUCAAUGUAUCCGAUAGGAGGUUGGCUAUACAUUAGUGUUUUGAGUUCUAGAACGGUUCGAUAAUAAUCCUAAUUAAUUUGCUAGAUUUACUAUUAUAUUAUUUCUUGAAAAUUUUCCUAAACCUGACGCGUUAAUUCAUUUGAAUUUUCACAUGAUUUAAUUGCUUGUUUUUAUUUGAAUUUGCUUAAUAUUCUAUUUAGCCUAAUUUUGAAACUGUUAACUUAUUGUGUGAACAAAAAAAUUUUAUAGAAUUCGACCCUAAAGUACUGUAAUUGAUCUCUUAUUUAAAAGAGUAGUCUAUAAAUCUAAUUUGACUCGUAUCAACAUGCAUGCUUUUCAAAGAAAUUCUUGUUUGUUAGUAUGCAAGUUAGACGGACGCAAAUACCAAACUUUGACAAACAAAUAUAGAAAUAUAUAUAUAUAUUUUUUUCUUCUUCUUUUUUUUGAUAAAAAGGGAGAAAGAAAUAGUUAUUGCGUAAAUAUAUGUUGUUGUUUUCAACUUUUCAAAUUAGUAAUGUUUUAUUUGUUACAAGCUCGAAAAAGAAAAAAAAACGAAAUUUAUUAGUUAGGUUAACAUACAUUUUUUUAUAGAUUGGAUAUUGAACAUACGGUUCAAACUUUAUAUAUUAAAAUUAAUAAACAAAGAGUUGUGUAUCUUUCUAAAACAAACAAAAUUUUAUGUAUUUUUCUUAAAAUUGAAAAACACUUGAUGUAUUUUUAAGGAAUUUUUUUUUUUUUUAAUUGUAUAGAAAUAAACAAACGACGAUGGGAAAAAUGUCGAAAAAUGCGCGAACUUUCAAAUUUGGGACGAAAAAAACAUGAACUUUCGAAAUGUCAUUUAAAUCAUAAAGUUUAGGUUGACUUUUUGACAAAAUAGUGAAGUUUAGUUUGACUUAGUCAUUUCGGGCAUGCCGUUAAAUUUCCGUUAACCAGAAGAUGAAGGUGUUAAAUUUCAGUUAGAACUCUCUGUUGAGUCUAAACGACGUCGUUUUGAAACUCUGAAACAACGUCGCUUCAUUAGAAAAUAAGAUGGAAACAAUGCAUUCAUGGAGAAUCGAACAGCUGACCUACUAGACUAUCGAGAGAUGGUCAACCAUUGCGCUACAAUAACAUUAUGAUAUUAUACCAAACAGAACAUAUAUAUAUUAACAAAUAAUUAUGUACAAUUAACUAAAACUAUAUACAAUUAGUUAACAAUAACAAAACUAGAAAAAAUUAUUACCAAACAGAUACAAAUAUUAAAUAUACUUAAAUAAAUAAAUAUUUUGAAAUUUCAAAUACUAAUUUUAUAUAUAAAGAUUUCUUCUUUAUUUGGAAAAUUAUUUUUUCCUAAAUUAUAAAAAACAAAACUGAAACUUAUAGAGUAUAGAAAAUUAAAUAUAUGACAUAAAACUUAUUCAAUCUUUCUAACAUAAAUAUAGGAUUAAAGAUUGUAUAAAUUAUAGGAUUAAAGAUUGUAUAUUAUGUGAGAAGGAUUGUAUAAAUUUUACAUUUAUGUGAGAAGGAUUGUAUAAAUUUUAUGUCAUAUAUUUAAUUUAAUAUAUUCUAUAAGUUUCAGUUUUGUUUUUUAUAAUUUAGGAAACAAUUUUUUUUAAAUAUAGAAGCAAAUUUUAUAUAUAAAAUUAAAUAUUUAAAAUUUCAAAAUAUAUAUUUAUGGUAAGUAUAUUUAAUAUUUAAAAUUGUACAUAGUUAUUUGUUAGUAUAUAUAUGUUCGGUUUGGUACAAUACCAAAAAAUUAUUGUAGCACAACGGUUGAGCGCCUCUCAUUAGUCCAGUAGGUCAGCUGUACGAUUCUCGGUGGAUGUUGUUUUUCCAUCUUAUUUUCUAAUAAAACGACGUCGUUUCAGAUUUUCAAAACGACGUCGUUUUGAUUCAACAAAGAGUUUUAACAAAAAUUUAACACCGUGAUCGUCUGGUUAACGGAAAUUUAACGGUAUGUCCGAAAUGGCCAAGUCAAACUAAACUUCACUAUUUUGUCAAAAAGUCAAUUUAAACUUUAUGAUUUAAAUGACAUUUUGAAAGUUCAUGUUUUUUUCGUCCCAAAUUUGAAAAUUCGCAUGGGUUAUAAUGAUUAAAUGCCAAAGGCUUGCAUGGGUUAUAAUGAUUAUUGGGAAAAUUGGAUAUAAAAAAUAAAUAAUUAAAUUAUUAUUCAUCUAUGCAUUCUAUAUUUAUAAUUGAUCAUAUAUGUUUUAAUAUUGGUUAUGCUUUAAUAUAAUUAAAAUCACAUUUUGUCCCUAGUUAUUUUAAAUCACAUUUGACAUCGGUGCAAGUUUCUUGUACUAUCCACGAGACCCCAAAAGCAAUUAAUGACCUUUGUAUUGUUCUUUCAGAGGCAAUAAUGUAAAUUAUAAAAAAAAAAUCCUAUUUUAUUUUAUUUUUACUAAACAAAAGAAAAACACUCUAACAAAAUCCUAUUUUAUUUUAUUUUUACUAAACAAAAGAAAAACACUCUAACAAAUAAACAAAUAAUCUGCCAUUGUCACAUGAGUCACAUCCAUUUGACUACACGAAAUGCACUCACUGUAGAUAAAUUUAAAUAAGGUGAAUAUCCCAUGCACCACUGUAUAUGGUACAAAAAGAGAGCCUUUCUUCCUCAUUUUACCACUCUUCUAAAACAUAUUUCUCGUCUUCUCUCAAGUUCUUCAAGAGAAAACAAAAAGAACUGCAAAGAGAAUUGGUGUGACUGAAAAUGGGAGUGGAAGGAACUAUGGAGUAUAUAUCGGACUUUUUGAAGAAGAGGAAGAGGAAGAAGAAGAAGCAACUGCAAACAGUAGCUCUCCGAGUUGCUCGUAUCGACUGCGAAGGUUGUGAACGUAAGAUCAAACAUAUCCUCUCCGGUGUCAAAGGUAUGUAUUUAGAUAUAUGUACGUAUGGUUUAACAUGAAAGCCGAAGGCGUAUCCACUUUAUGUAUAAUUAUAAAAAAAAAAAAAAAAUUAUAUAAGAAAUCAGUUUUAGGCAACCACCAUGAUCCAUUAAUGGUUAGAGAUUUGCCAUGUUGGUCGAAGCCACGGAUCGAAUUCAUUCCACUACUUUCCAUCUUAAUUGACAACAAAAUUUGGUAUUUUGUAUAUGCCCGGUCUAAAGCAUAGGCAAAGAAAAACAUUAAUAUUUCGGAUCCGACAUUUUUUAAAUGCCAACUUUUAGAAAAGUAAAGGUAAGAAUAACUCAAGCUAAAGGGUAUCACUUUUAAAUUUCGAGUGGACAUCUGGAAACAUUAGACCGGCCCCGGAUUGGUCUCAAUUACUUUGUGUUUGGCUCUUUGAUGUCAAAAACUUUGGUUUUCUUGAAUCUCAUCAUGAAAUAUGUGUUUUAGGUAUUUUUGAAUAUAUAUCACAUUUUGGACCAAUUUUAGUCAGACACUACGAUAGAACUCUGAUUAUCCGGUGCUAUUUACAAUUUAUAGACUCGUUGCACUUUAGAAAAUGUGACUCCUAAGAAAAAAAAAUAUGAAAAAUGGAUUUAAUUUUUUUUUGACUCAUUUGGACAGGGGUGAAGUCAGUGGACGUAGACGUGAAGCUGCAAAAGGUAACGGUAACGGGAUAUAUAGAGCCGAAGAAGGUUUUGGAGGCGGCCAAGUCAACGAAGAAGAAAGUGGAGUUAUGGCCUUACGUUCCUUACACAAUGGUGGCGAAUCCGUACAUAUCUCAGGCGUAUGACAAGAAGGCACCACCAAACAUGGUUCGGAAAGUCCCCGACACAACCUCUGUCAACGAGACCACCGUCGAUGACUCUUACACCAUUAUGUUUAGCGAUGAGAAUCCUAAUUCUUGCAUUAUCAUGUAGAAGAGUGUACAUUUUGUUAUGGAUUUUGGUAAUAGUAUACGUAAUUAAGAAUCGUUGUAAAAAAAAAAAAAAAAAAAAAAAGAAUCGUUUUGUCUGUAACGUGAGAAAAUCGAAAUGUCUUUUGAUACUUAAUGGAAAUUUGAUAUGCCUCAAUAUUAGUUGUUUUAACAUAUAUAAGUUUAAUACCAAAACAGACCAAUAUAAUACAUAUAUUGGUUUAUGUCAAUGUGUCACUAUCCGAAUUGAAAACUCCAUAACACACGUUGUUGACAAAAAAAAAUUAUCAAAAAUAAUUAUAUCUUUUAUCAAUUAUCUUAUAUUAGUUUCCGAUUCUACAACUUCAAUCAAUUAUCUUAUAUUAGUUUCCGAUUCUACAACUUCAAGUAUUCAUACAAUAUCUAAAAACAUGUUAAAUAGAUGGGAUUGGCUUGAGGAUCAUAGAUCAUAUAGAUUUCUAGUUAGUAAAUUGAUGUAGUAUUUCACCAUCUCCAAACUUAACAUACCUUUCAUAGUUGACAAGUUAUUAUUAGUAAUGGGCCUAACUCAACACCCAAAAGCUAGCUCAAGGGAGGAGGUUUGCCUCAUACUAUAUAUAUUGCCCAAGGAUUUUAUUUCUUUCCAAUGUGGGACUCUAACACACCCUCCUCACGCUCAGGACUGGACAUCUGAAGCGUGAAGUUUGUGGGACUGGAUAUUCACGGAUGGUAGCCCACUUUCGAGAAAGUUGAACCUGGCUUUGAUACCAUAUUAGUAAUGGGUCUAACUCAACACCCAAAAGCUAGCUCAAGAGAGGAGGUUUGCCUCAUACUAUAUAUAUAUUGUCCAAGGAUUUUAAUUUAUUUAUUUCCGAUGUGGGACUCUAACAGUUAUGUCAGUACUUAUUUAAUUUGAAUCAGAAUCAGAAUCAGAAGAUAAAUCGAAACUACUUGAAUGCAUUUUUGCACAUAUUAUACCUUCAAUUUUGAAAAGACACUGUAGAAUCGAAAAAAAUGAGGCAGAAGAAGAAGGAGCAUUGUCUCCGUUGAAGUCUGAGCUUGUUUGAUGACAAGGUGGGCCUGUGGUUGGGCCUGGGGAUGGGUUGAGUUGCAAUUGCAGUACUUUUUUCUUUUUUUUUAACGUAUAACAUGUUUGAUUUGUCUUCCAGUUGCAGUUUUAGUAAGGUGACUUUUCUCAAAUAACACAUUUUCAAAGAUUACUGUAUGUAACAAACAUGUUAAAUUAAAUUAAGCUACAUAAAAGCACUUUUUUUGCAGAAAAUUGUGGACAGAAAAAUCGCGAUAGCAGAAUCAAGUUUUAAGCCUAGCAUACAAACACAUGUUUUUAAUAAAAAGUUAUGGAACUCUGUGUUUUAAAAAAAAACAAAAUUAUAUAUAUUAGAUCGUGUUUUAGGGGAAAAACUGUGGAGUUGUAUUGUAUAUAAUUUUGGUCAAAUUAAAUGCAAAGCUGCGUUUUUUUUUGUCAACAAAUGCAAAACUGCGUUUUGGCAGAAAACUGUGUUUUGGCAAAAUAAUUGCAGUAUCAAAAUUUCAAUGGAAAUAGCGAGAAAAUAGCAUAAUUGUGUUUUGGAAAAAAAUAUUGUGGAUCUGUUUUAAUUCUUUUUUUUUUGGUUCGAAACGAUCACACAAAUUAUGAAGACGCAUACAUGUUUCAAAGGAUGAAGAACAUGUUGUUUUCUUAGAUGAUUUCUUGGCUGACAUGAAAUGUAUGAUCAAGAUUCAAUUCGGAGUUAGAUUUUCACUGAAUANNNNNNNNNNNNNNNNNNNNNNNNNNNNNNNNNNNNNNNNNNNNNNNNNNNNNNNNNNNNNNNNNNNNNNNNNNNNNNNNNNNNNNNNNNNNNNNNNNNNNNNNNNNNNNNNNNNNNNNNNNNNNNNNNNNNNNNNNNNNNNNNNNNNNNNNNNNNNNNNNNNNNNNNNNNNNNNNUUUAUUUUAGCGAGAUAUAGAUUUCGAAUUUUGUUUGCGGAGAGAUGUAUAGCCCAUCUGGUGUUAUACAAAUCUCUUUGUGUAAAAUUAGAUCAUUAGUCCAACCUUUUACCUAAAACAUUUAAAAUUUUCUUCGAUUUAAAGACAUUUUUGAGAGCAAACAUGCAAAGCUCCAUAAACUAAUAUUACUUGAGAUGAUCGCGUAGAGAUUGCGAACCAUAUAUGAUACAUGAUAGAUGCUUUUAAAUCCACGGGAACAGCUGAUAUCUAAACCUUUAGACCGCUCACUAAGAGGCAGCCCAAGAUAUCUUACCGACAAGCUUGCUUUCCUUAGGUUGAACUUUGUAUAUUUUCAUAAAAUACAUAUUUCGAAAAACAUAGUUUUUGUAUCAUUUACUUUUAUUAAAUUCCAAUUCCUAUAUCUUGGUGGGGAAUUAAAAAAAAAUAAAGGCGUCAUGCCAACACGUUGCAGCUUAGGAGACGAAACCAUAUAUGAACAUAACCCUUUACGAUGAAAAAAUAAAUACUAUAUUUAGUUCGUUAGAACAACAAUCAUGGUUUAUAUUAAAUAGGCUAAAUAAGUGUAUCGGAAGUCAUCAUAUUCGUUGGCACAUAUUCCUUCAUGGAUAAGAUCCCUUAAAUCAUUAACAAAUAGAAUCCAUUUAAUCAUACUUGGCUGCAAUCGUGACCGUCUGAAAGAUUGUAAUUUGAGGACGGCUAAAACAAAUAAAGCCUUGAAAAAACAAUAUAAAAAGAUCAAAAUAAAUUCGUAAUUCUCAAUAGGCAUUUUUCAAAAAAAAAAAAUUAUAAUAUGCCUUUUUCUACAUUUUUCUCCAAAAUAUGCCUUAUAUUCAUAAUAUAAUAUAGUUAGUUUACACAUGACUCCUUAUCAUUCUUACAACUUUUUCCAAGUUACUAGAAUCUGAAUUAUGGUACCAACAAAGUCUCUACAACUUUCUUUUCUUGAAAUCUAGUGAAAGAAUGUUGCUAUAGGUAUAUCAAAUGGCACAAAACUAGGUUCUUGAAACUCACAAAAAGUUGUUUGUAAAGUACUACAUAUUUUCAGUAUUUAAGUAGGUAUGAACAUGUAAAAAGAGUACCUUUGUAUGAUUGAUAACUAUCUUCCUUAAAAAUAUCAAAUUAAAUUACGAUAAUACAUAUAAUGUUUUUUUAUUACGGACAACUGUAUAUCGCUGUUAAAUUAUCUAGUUGUACCAGUUGAUAUAUAAAAAAGUUAGAUGAAAGUCUACUCACAGAACCGUAUGAUAUAUAUGAAAUUUGAUUCUGUAAAACUUGGCCAAAGCAAAAGGCUAAGGGCCAUAUUAAACAUCAAAAGAAUGAGUAUACUAAUACCACUCUUGAAGAAACCAUGAAGAAGACAAAGCCUUAAGGACUGAACUUGAACCUAGACAUUAUUAAGGCUAUAUGCAUUUUAUCCGACGUGGCGGCAUCUUUUCAGAUUCUGGGACCCACGUUUCACAACCUAAUUGGUCAAGAAUCUGUUGGUUAUACCGGGAAUACUGUAAUAAAUUGAUAAGUCAACCUCUAUUUUAUGUUGUGCACAUAAGUUGUUUUCAAGUAUAGUAAUACUAGGAACAUGUAUAGUUGCUAGAUAUUUCUAUAAUUUUAAAAUUUUAAAAUUUGUCCCAGAAAUAAAUAUUUAGGGAGAAACUUGGAAAAGACAAAAACAUGAAAGGACAAGAAGAUAUAUGUGUGACGUGAAUAUAUACAAUUUCACAUCUUUUCUAAUAAAUUGCAUACAAUAAUAUACUGUAUGUUACUAUAAUAAAUUGUUAAGUCAACCUCUAUUUUAGGUUGCCAAUGCACAUAAGUUGUUUUCAAGUAUAGUAAUACUAAGAAACAUGUAUAGUUGCUAGAUAUUUCAAAAAAUUUAAUUUAUUUUUAAAAGUUGUCUCAUAAAUAUAACUUUUUUAGGGAUGAACUUGGAAAACACGAAAACAUUGGAGGAUAAGAAGAUAUAUGUGUGACGAAUAUUGCAUACAAUUUCACACCUUUUCUAAUAAAUCUCAUACAAUAAUAUGUGUUACUAUAAUUAAUUGUUAAGUCAACCACUUUUUUGUAUGUUGCCAAAGGCACAUAAGUUGGUUUUAAGUAUAAAUAAAAGGUAAAAAGAUGAAUAGUUUUUUUUUUUGUCGUCUAGAUUUAUUAUUAAUUGCAAAUUAUGAGAACUGUUACAUAGACGAUUCUACAACUGACAAUUCCUUCCGACCCUUACUAGAUUCACGACAGACUACACUUCCUUCUUCGUAAUCUUGAUGAAUACCUUCAAUGAUCCACGACCUCGCUACACUUCCUUCUCUGCGUAGAAUCCUGGCGAACGGCUAUAAUUGUACAUCGCUGGAGAUCUCUUGCACACUUGCCUCCAUUAAUCUGCAAAUUUGUUAAUAAAUCGCAAUACCUGGGACUCGAACCCCAGACUUUUUGGUGUAGAAGCAUUAAUCAACCCUUGGUCAACCAAUGGGCCAAGGGGGCUUCCACAAAAAAAAAAAAAAAAAAAAAAAAAAAAAAAAAAAAAAAAAAAAAAAAAAAAAAAAAAAAAAAAAAAGAUGAAUA
rnacentral:lncRNA from 1 species